AGGGCGCACGGUGGAUGCCUUGGCACUAGAAGCCGAUGAAGGACGUGACUAACGACGAAAUGCUUUGGGGAGCUGUAAGUGAGCAAUGAUCCAGAGAUGUCCGAAUGGGGGAACCCGGCAGGUAAUGCCUGUCACUCAUUACUGUUAAGGUAAUGUAGAGGAAGACGCAGUGAACUGAAACAUCUAAGUAGCUGUAGGAAGAGAAAGCAAAAGCGAUUGCCUUAGUAGCGGCGAGCGAAACGGCAAGAGGGCAAACCGAAGAGUUUACUCUUCGGGGUUGUAGGACUGCAACGUGGACUUAAAGAUUAUAGAAGAACUACCUGGGAAGGUAGGCCAAAGAGAGUAAUAGCCUCGUAUUCGAAAUAGUCUUUAUACCUAGCAGUAUCCUGAGUACGGCGAGACACGAGAAAUCUCGUCGGAAUCUGGGAGGACCAUCUCCCAACCCUAAAUACUCUCUAGUGACCGAUAGUGAACCAGUACCGUGAGGGAAAGGUGAAAAGCACCCCGGGAGGGGAGUGAAAUAGAACCUGAAACCGUGUGCCUACAACAAGUUCGAGCCCGUUAAUGGGUGAGAGCGUGCCUUUUGUAGAAUGAACCGGCGAGUUACGAUAUGAUGCGAGGUUAAGUUGAAGAGACGGAGCCGUAGGGAAACCGAGUCUUAAUAGGGCGCAUUAGUAUCAUGUCGUAGACCCGAAACCAUGUGACCUACCCAUGAGCAGGUUGAAGGUGAGGUAAAACUCACUGGAGGACCGAACCAGGGCACGUUGAAAAGUGCUUGGAUGACUUGUGGGUAGCGGAGAAAUUCCAAACGAACUUGGAGAUAGCUGGUUCUCUCCGAAAUAGCUUUAGGGCUAGCGUCGAUGUUAAGUCUCUUGGAGGUAGAGCACUGUUUGGGUGAGGGGUCCAUCCCGGAUUACCAAUCUCAGAUAAACUCCGAAUGCCAAUGAGAUAUAAUCGGCAGUCAGACUGCGAGUGCUAAGAUCCGUAGUCGAAAGGGAAACAGCCCAGACCACCAGCUAAGGUCCCAAAAUAUAUGUUAAGUGGAAAAGGAUGUGGGGUUGCACAGACAACUAGGAUGUUAGCUUAGAAGCAGCUAUUCAUUCAAAGAGUGCGUAAUAGCUCACUAGUCGAGUGACCCUGCGCCGAAAAUGUACCGGGGCUAAAACAUAUUACCGAAGCUGUGGAUACCUUUAUAGGUAUGGUAGGAGAGCGUUCUAUGUGCGAAGAAGGUGUACCGUGAGGAGUGCUGGAGCGCAUAGAAGUGAGAAUGCCGGUAUGAGUAGCGAAAGACAGGUGAGAAUCCUGUCCACCGUAAGACUAAGGUUUCCAGGGGAAGGCUCGUCCGCCCUGGGUUAGUCGGGACCUAAGGAGAGACCGAAAGGUGUAUCCGAUGGACAACAGGUUGAUAUUCCUGUACUAGAGUAUAUAGUGAUGGAGGGACGCAGUAGGCUAACUAAACCAGACGAUUGGAAGUGUCUGGCCAAGCAGUGAGGUGUGAUAUGAGUCAAAUGCUUAUAUCUUUAACAUUGAGCUGUGAUGGGGAGCGAAGUUUAGUAGCGAAGUUAGUGAUGUCACACUGCCGAGAAAAGCUUCUAGCGUUAAUUAUACUCUACCCGUACCGCAAACCGACACAGGUAGUCGAGGCGAGUAGCCUCAGGUGAGCGAGAGAACUCUCGUUAAGGAACUCGGCAAAAUGGCCCCGUAACUUCGGGAGAAGGGGCGCUGACUGAUGGUCAGCCGCAGUGAAUAGGCCCAAGCAACUGUUUAUCAAAAACACAGCUCUCUGCUAAAUCGUAAGAUGAUGUAUAGGGGGUGACGCCUGCCCGGUGCUGGAAGGUUAAGAGGAGUGCUUAGCGUAAGCGAAGGCAUGAAUUGAAGCCCCAGUAAACGGCGGCCGUAACUAUAACGGUCCUAAGGUAGCGAAAUUCCUUGUCGGGUAAGUUCCGACCCGCACGAAAGGCGUAAUGAUUUGGGCACUGUCUCAACGAGAGACUCGGUGAAAUUUUAGUACCUGUGAAGAUGCAGGUUACCCGCGACAGGACGGAAAGACCCCAUGGAGCUUUACUGCAGUUUGAUAUUGAGUAUCUGUACCACAUGUACAGGAUAGGUAGGAGCCUAUGACCUCGGGACGCCAGUUUCGAGUGAGGCGUUGUUGGGAUACUACCCUUGUGUUAUGGCUACUCUAACCCAGAUAGGUUAUCCCUAUCGGAGACAGUGUCUGACGGGCAGUUUGACUGGGGCGGUCGCCUCCUAAAAGGUAACGGAGGCGCCCAAAGGUUCCCUCAGAAUGGUUGGAAAUCAUUCGCAGAGUGUAAAGGUAUAAGGGAGCUUGACUGCGAGAGUUACAACUCGAGCAGGGACGAAAGUCGGGCUUAGUGAUCCGGUGGUUCCGUAUGGAAGGGCCAUCGCUCAACGGAUAAAAGCUACCCUGGGGAUAACAGGCUUAUCUCCCCCAAGAGUUCACAUCGACGGGGAGGUU
rnacentral:rRNA from 1 species